AAAUCGUUCGUCUGACUUGGGU
rnacentral:snRNA from 1 species